UUAAAUUGAAGAGUUUGAUCAUGGCUCAGAUUGAACGCUGGCGGCAGGCCUAACACAUGCAAGUCGAACGGUAACAGGAAGCAGCUUGCUGCUUCGCUGACGAGUGGCGGACGGGUGAGUAAUGUCUGGGAAACUGCCUGAUGGAGGGGGAUAACUACUGGAAACGGUGGCUAAUACCGCAUAACGUCGCAAGACCAAAGAGGGGGACCUUCGGGCCUCUUGCCAUCAGAUGUGCCCAGAUGGGAUUAGCUUGUUGGUGAGGUAACGGCUCACCAAGGCGACGAUCCCUAGCUGGUCUGAGAGGAUGACCAGCCACACUGGAACUGAGACACGGUCCAGACUCCUACGGGAGGCAGCAGUGGGGAAUAUUGCACAAUGGGCGCAAGCCUGAUGCAGCCAUGCCGCGUGUAUGAAGAAGGCCUUCGGGUUGUAAAGUACUUUCAGCGGGGAGGAAGGUGUUGCGGUUAAUAACCGCAGCAAUUGACGUUACCCGCAGAAGAAGCACCGGCUAACUCCGUGCCAGCAGCCGCGGUAAUACGGAGGGUGCAAGCGUUAAUCGGAAUUACUGGGCGUAAAGCGCACGCAGGCGGUCUGUCAAGUCGGAUGUGAAAUCCCCGGGCUCAACCUGGGAACUGCAUUCGAAACUGGCAGGCUUGAGUCUUGUAGAGGGGGGUAGAAUUCCAGGUGUAGCGGUGAAAUGCGUAGAGAUCUGGAGGAAUACCGGUGGCGAAGGCGGCCCCCUGGACAAAGACUGACGCUCAGGUGCGAAAGCGUGGGGAGCAAACAGGAUUAGAUACCCUGGUAGUCCACGCCGUAAACGAUGUCUACUUGGAGGUUGUGCCCUUGAGGCGUGGCUUCCGGAGCUAACGCGUUAAGUAGACCGCCUGGGGAGUACGGCCGCAAGGUUAAAACUCAAAUGAAUUGACGGGGGCCCGCACAAGCGGUGGAGCAUGUGGUUUAAUUCGAUGCAACGCGAAGAACCUUACCUGGUCUUGACAUCCACAGAACUUUCCAGAGAUGGAUUGGUGCCUUCGGGAACUGUGAGACAGGUGCUGCAUGGCUGUCGUCAGCUCGUGUUGUGAAAUGUUGGGUUAAGUCCCGCAACGAGCGCAACCCUUAUCCUUUGUUGCCAGCGAUUAGGUCGGGAACUCAAAGGAGACUGCCAGUGAUAAACUGGAGGAAGGUGGGGAUGACGUCAAGUCAUCAUGGCCCUUACGACCAGGGCUACACACGUGCUACAAUGGCGCAUACAAAGAGAAGCGACCUCGCGAGAGCAAGCGGACCUCAUAAAGUGCGUCGUAGUCCGGAUUGGAGUCUGCAACUCGACUCCAUGAAGUCGGAAUCGCUAGUAAUCGUGGAUCAGAAUGCCACGGUGAAUACGUUCCCGGGCCUUGUACACACCGCCCGUCACACCAUGGGAGUGGGUUGCAAAAGAAGUAGGUAGCUUAACCUUCGGGAGGGCGCUUACCACUUUGUGAUUCAUGACUGGGGUGAAGUCGUAACAAGGUAACCGUAGGGGAACCUGCGGUUGGAUCACCUCCUUACCUUAAAGAAGC
rnacentral:rRNA from 3 species